rnacentral:tRNA from 1 species
AGGGGUAUGGUGAAAUGGUAUCAUUACGGUCUCCAAAACCGUCGGCCUGGGUUCGAUUCCCAGUACCCCUG